rnacentral:rRNA from 1 species
GACGAACGCUGGCGGCGUGCCUAAUACAUGCAAGUAGGACGCACAGUCUAUACCGUAGCUUGCUACACCAUAGGCUGUGAGUUGCGAACGGGUGAGUAACGCGUAGGUAACCUGCCUAUUAGAGGGGGAUAACUAUUGGAAACGAUAGCUAAUACCGCAUAACAGUAUGUAACACAUGUUAGAUGCUUGAAGGAUGCAAUUGCAUCGCUAGUAGAUGGACCUGCGUUGUAUUAGCUAGUAGGUAGGGUAAUGGCCUACCUAGGCGACGAUACAUAGCCGACCUGAGAGGGUGAUCGGCCACACUGGGACUGAGACACGGCCCAGACUCCUACGGGAGGCAGCAGUAGGGAAUCUUCGGCAAUGGGGGGAACCCUGACCGAGCAACGCCGCGUGAGUGAAGAAGGUUGUCGGAUCGUAAAGCUCGGUUGUUAAGGAAGAACGAGUGUGAGAAUGGAAAGUUCAUACUGUGACGGUACUUAACCAGAAAGGGACGGCUAACUACGUG